rnacentral:tRNA from 2 species
UAUAAGAUGCCUGAAUAAAGGAUAAUUUUGAUAGAAUUAAUCAUGUGAGCAAUCACUCUUAUAA